rnacentral:lncRNA from 1 species
CGGGGGGGGGGGGUGGCGGGGAGGGGCGGCGCGGACUCAGCCUUCUCAGGGAGCAUUUUUCUGGGUUCUGGCGGGGAGGCCAGGCAGGCACAUGUGGGUUUUGAGAAAAGAGCUGGAUGGGGAAUGAACCGUAUCUUUUAUUGCCCCCUUUCAGCCCCCCUUUCUCCGCCUGUCGCACUCCUCCCCGCACCCUGCACCCCGCCCCCACCAUUUUGGCAUAAAGAGCCGAAGGGGUAAGAGGACAGAGUUGUCAUGGCAACUCCCCACACUUCCUGGGCCAAUGGAAGAAAGCCAGGAGGAAGGAGAAAGAGGCCAGUGUAUUGGGGUGGCAAAGAAGAGGCAGCAGAGUUGUGCCCCACUGCCUUCUGUCUCCUGGCUCCAAAUUCCUUGCUCUCAUAACUGUUUCUAUUUGUGUUUGUCUCGGUGCGGCAGGUUCACAGACUACCACCAUACGCUGGCUACAGCCGAAUGCUUCGAGAAGAGCCCCCCCCGCACCCCCCCCCCACUUCGGUCCCGCUGCGCCCCUUUCCUGGACUCCGGACUCAUCUCUAUCAGCUUAGGCAUCUCUCAGCGCUCAGAGCUCAGCGCCGCCCGCCCGCCCGGGAGUCUUCGUUGACACUGGCGUCCCAACCCGAUUUGUCUCCCGCUAUAAAAUAAGCCGCCCUUCGAGAGGAGAGCUCCUGGUAGUCCUAUUUCUACUUUCCAAGUCGUGUGUGGAGCUAUCUACAGCUAGGCUGCUGUAGACCCGGACCACAAUUCUUGAUACUUGUCAACAUUUGACCUUUCCAUUUUCCUUGGGAGGUAGGCAGGCAGGCAGGAAGUAACAUUCCCUUUUACAGAUGAGAAAGGUGAGGCCAAGAGAACAAAAGUCACAUAGCUGGUACACUUCCAUUCCUGACUGAACUGGGGCAGGGCAUCUCCAAAUACAAAUGCUUCCCCCACCCAAUCUCAUUCAAAUAGCCAAGUGGGGAAGGGAUGGUUUCACUAAGGGUGAGAACCCAUUAAAGCUGGAAGCAAACACUGA